rnacentral:rRNA from 1 species
CCUACGGGAGGCAGCAGUGGGGAAUUUUGGACAAUGGGGGCAACCCUGAUCCAGCAAUGCCGCGUGUGUGAAGAAGGCCUUCGGGUUGUAAAGCACUUUUGUCCGGGAAGAAAUCGCACCUGAUAAUACCGGGUGUGGAUGACGGUACCGGAAGAAUAAGGACCGGCUAACUACGUGCCAGCAGCCGCGGUAAUACGUAGGGUCCAAGCGUUAAUCGGAAUUACUGGGCGUAAAGCGUGCGCAGGCGGUUGUGCAAGACCGAUGUGAAAUCCCCGGGCUUAACCUGGGAAUUGCAUUGGUGACUGCACGGCUAGAGUGUGUCAGAGGGGGGUAGAAUUCCACGUGUAGCAGUGAAAUGCGUAGAGAUGUGGAGGAAUACCGAUGGCGAAGGCAGCCCCCUGGGAUAACACUGACGCUCAUGCACGAAAGCGUGGGGAGCA